AGGCUCUGGUAUGAUGUGACGUACUUUCCUGC
rnacentral:piRNA from 1 species